rnacentral:rRNA from 1 species
CAGUAGCCGCGGUAAUACAGAGGUCCCGAGCGUUGUUCGGAUUCACUGGGCGUAAAGGGUGUGUAGGAGGUUGGAUAAGUCAGGUGUGAAAUCCCGCAGCUCAACUGCGGAACUGCAUUCGAUACUGUUCAACUAGAGGAUCGGAGGGGGAAGCGGAAUUCUUGGUGUAGCGGUGAAAUGCGUAGAUAUCAAGAGGAACACCGAUGGCGAAGGCGGCUUCCUGGAAGAUACCUGACUCUGAAACACGAAAGCCAGGGGAGCGAAUGGGAUUAGAUACCCCAGUAGUCCCUGUCUCUUAUAC